rnacentral:rRNA from 1 species
AAGCUGUCGCUAAAAAGGGGGAUGGACCUGCGAUGCAUUAGCUAGUUGGUAAGGUAACGGCUUACCAAGGCGAUGAUGCAUAGCCCGAGUUGAGAGACUGAUCGGCCACAUUGGGACUGAGACACGGCCCAAACUCCUACGGGAGGCAGCAGUAGGGAAUCUUCCACAAUGGACGCAAGUCUGAUGGAGCAACGCCGCGUGAGUGAAGAAGGUUUUCGGAUCGUAAAGCUCUGUUGUUGGUGAAGAAGGAUAGAGGUAGUAACUGGCCUUUAUUUGACGGUAAUCAACCAGAAAGUCACGGCUAACUACGUGCCAGCAGCCGCGGUAAU